AGCCAUGCACGUCUAAGUACAAACUAAAUGAUGGUGAAACUGCAAAUGGCUCAUUACAACGGUUAUGAUGUACCCGGGAGUUCCGAUGGAUAUUUCCAGUAACACUAGAACUAAUACAUGUCCCUGCGUUUAUUAGUUUCGCACAGUCCGUCGCUGAGUCAUGGUAAACAGUUGAUCGACUCGACGUCCCGGAACAGUUUCCGCCCCAUCAGCUUCGAUGGUUGGGUAUUGGCCUACCAUUGCAACAACGGGUAACGAGGAAUUAGGGUUUGAUUUCGGAGAGGGAGCCUGAGAAACGGCUACCACAUCUACGGAUGGCAGCAGGCGCGCAAAUUACCCAAUGCAGACACUGUGAGGUAGUGACGAGAAAUAAUAAAGCGGGACUUCUGUUUCGCUAUUAUAAUGAGGAAUAACCAAAGGUCAUUCCGAUUAGCAACUGAUGGGAAAGUCUGGUGCCAGCAGCCGCGGUAAUACCAGCGUCAGUAGCAUAUAUUAAAAUUGUUGCGGUUAAAACGUCCGUAGUCUGUACGUCGUCCCAAACUCACUGCAGUCUUCCGUUUUCUUAAUUGAAUGCGGUAGUUUCUGCAGUCACUCCCUUGAUCAAAUUAGGUUGUUCAAGGUAGACCAAGUCUUCAUAUUUUCACAUGGAAUUGGGUGAGGGAACUUAAGAGUUUAAGUUUCUCGUCUUAGGAUCAUCCGGGGUCAUUCGUACUCGUCCGCGAGAGGUGAAAUUCUUGGACCGGACGAAGACGACCAGCAGCGAAAGCAUCUGUCAGGGAUGUUUUCUGCGACAAAGGACGAAGGUCAGGGUAUCGAAGACGAUUAGAUA
rnacentral:rRNA from 1 species